rnacentral:misc_RNA from 1 species
CUUUAUUUGUGCUUUAUUUUCCAUCACUUUAAAAUUUGUCGUUAACACUUCACCGCUUCAACUACAAGGGGAUUUCAGUUACUUAUGGGAUAGCCAGAAACAUUCUUUGUACUGUAAUUCAAUAAACAAAUUGCAAAUCCUGUUUCAUGGAACAAGACUCUAUCAUUGCAGCUCUUAGAACAAUUCUAAAUGUCCAACACCUGAAAUGAAUCAGCCACCACUUUAAGUUUGUUGCGGAAUUUUCUCCAUCGCCUUUCAUUCGCUCCCACGAUUAAUGUGUAGUAUCUCCCAUUUGCAAUUGCUAUAGUAGCAAAUGCUGCCCGCGAAAAAUUUGGAGAUGUCAAUACAUAUUCAAAGGUGAAAUAGUUUUUCCCAUCCGUAGUUCUCUCCUUCAUUUCCAUUAUAUUUGCCACCUGAUUCGGUGCAGAGUAAACAUGUUUUACCAGAUCGGGCACAACCUCUUGCAUUGGCCCCAAAUCAUGGAUAUCUGUUUUAUCAGUUGGUAUAAAACUAAGUCUUACAUUUUGCAGUUGUAGAUACCUAUCUUUAAAUGCAGAAUCAUGACCUCUGAAAUCGAAUUCCCUCCAAUCUGAUGGAUAGUAAUACGAAUAACCAUCUCGUUUGUCAACAAAGAUUUCAUAGUUCUCCGGUACUCCUUGAGCUAGAAGGGG